GUUUGAUAUCUUUCUAGUUGCUUCUGGCGGAAUCAGAAACGGGGAAGGAAAAGUUGGAACUUGGAAGCGAUAAAAUGGCCGGAGAGCAUAUUAUGAGGAGAAUUCCACGGAUUAAAUUCCCACAAAGACACCCGAAAUCUUCAUCUUCUGUAACCAAAACGUCUGUAUGUGAUGAAGAAGCUUGGGAGCUUCUUCUCAUUUCUUCAUUUAGAACACCUCCCUCAGCAGCUUUGAAGGAGACAACACCAUUAGGAGCUGAAUUAGUAACUGAUACUCGAAAAGUCUCCCAAGAAUCAGGUAGAGUAUUGAGCAACCACAGGCCAAGAAUCUCAUCAUCAAAUUUUAUGCCCAUACCAGAUAGCUGAUCUACAGUUCCCCUGAACUCAUUCAAAUGGUCAGCUAUAGAACUACCUUCUCUAAAUUUCAACUGUAUCAUUUUGUUCAGCAAAAAUAAUUUGUUAUUAUCACUCUUUGAAGCAUGCAAUGAUUCAAGCUUACUCCAUAAGGUUCUAGCAUGUUUUUCAUUGCAAAUUUGGUUAUAAACAUUAUCAUCAACAAAUUGCCGAAUAAACCCGCAUACUUGCUCAUGCUCAAAAUCCCAUUCUUCAUCACUUUUAGAAUCUGGCUUUUGACUAGCAAAUACAGGCAAAU
rnacentral:misc_RNA from 1 species